AACGAACGCUGGCGGCGUGCCUAACACAUGCAAGUCGAACGGGAAAGCCCGCAAGGGUGAGUACAGUGGCGCACGGGUGCGUAACACGUGGGUAAUCUGCCCAGAAGCCCGGAAUAACUCCCCGAAAGGGGUGCUAAUGCCGGAUGAGACCACGGGGACCUCGGUUCCUGGGGGAAAAGGUGGCCUCUGUAUACAGGCUAUCACUUCUGGAUGAGCCCGGGGCCCAUGAGCUAGUUGGCGGGGUAAUGGCCCACCAAGGCUACGACGGGUAGCUGGUCUGAGAGGACGAUCAGCCACACUGGAACUGAGACACGGUCCAGACUCCUACUGGAGGCAGCAGUGGGGAAUCUUGCGCAAUGGGCGAAAGCCUGACGCAGCAACGCCGCGUGUGUGAUGAAGGUCUUCGGAUCGUAAAGCACUGUCGGGAGGGACGAAUAAGGGCCGGGUGAACAAUCCGGUCCGACGACGGUGCCUCCAGAGGAAGCACCGGCUAACUCUGUGCCAGCAGCCGCCGUAAAAC
rnacentral:rRNA from 1 species